rnacentral:rRNA from 1 species
ACUGCUAUCGAGGUUCGACUAAGCCAUGCGAGUCGAAUGUAGCAAUACAUGGCGAACUGCUCAGUAACACGUGGACAACCUGCCCUUAGGUUGGGUAUAAACCCGGGAAACUGGGUAUAAUACCCGAUAGGUCUCGAUUGCUGGAAUGCAUCGAGAUUUAAAGCUCCGGCGCCUAAGGAUGGGUCUGCGGCCUAUCAGGUAGUAGUGGGUGUAGCGUACCUACUAGCCUACGACGGGUACGGGUUGUGAGAGCAAGAGCCCGGAGAUGGAUUCUGAGACACGAAUCCAGGCCCUACGGGGUGCAGCAGGCGCGAAAACUUUACAAUGCUGGCAACAGCGAUAAGGGAACCUCGAGUGCCAGGUUACAAAUCUGGCUGUCGAGAUGCCUAAAAAGCAUUUCAUAGCAAGGGCCGGGCAAGACCGGUGCCAGCCGCCGCGGUAACACCGGCGGCUCGAGUGGUAACCGUUAUUAUUGGGUCUAAAGGGUCUGUAGCCGGCCGGAUAAGUCUCUUGAGAAAUCUGGCAGCUUAACUGUCAGGCUUUCAGGAGAUACUGUCUGGCUCGAGGCCGGGAGAGGUGAGAGGUACUUCAGGGGUAGGGGUGAAAUCUUGUAAUCCUUGAAGGACCACCAGUGGCGAAGGCGUCUCACCAGAACGGACCUGACGGCAAGGGACGAAAGCUAGGGGCACGAACCGGAUUAGAUACCCGGGUAGUCCUAGCCGUAAACGAUACUCGCUAGGUGUCGGCCACGG